CGGUUGUUUUCGCACAAUUCUAAAUUAAUUUGCCGUAAUUUAUAAAAUGUUGUACUAUUUUCAAUGAAUGUUUUUAUUUUCCAACUAUUAGGCUCGUAACUUCAGCACCAGUUCAUCAUCCCAGCAGUUGGUGAAGGCUCCAGUCCAAGUUUUUGGGUUGUAUGGUCGCUAUGCCUCAGCACUCUACUCUGCUGCUUCCAAACAGAAAUCUUUGGACAAAGUUGAGAGCGAGUUGAAGGACUUUCAUGCAACUAUCGCCAAAGAUUCUCGUUUGGCAGAAUUCAUUGCCAACCCCACUUUGAAGAGAUCACUUAAGAAAGAUGCUCUUAUUUCAGUUGCCAAGAAAUUGAAAAUGAGUGCUGUUACAGGCAACUUCCUUGAACUCCUUGCUGAGAAUGGAAGACUUAACAAAUUGGAUGUUGUCACCGGCCAUUUCUUUAACAUGAUUGUUGGAAAUGGGA